AGGGCGGGGGGGGUGCCUACACAUGGCAGUCGAACGGGGUAUAUAAGCGGAAGUUUACGGAUGGAAGGUUAUAUACUUAGUGGCGGACGGGUGAGUAACGCGUGGGCAACCUGCCCCGUGCCGGGGGAUACCGCCUGGAAACAGGCGCUAAUACCGCAUAAGCGCAUACAGCCGCAUGGGUGUAUGCGGAAAGCUCCGGCGGCACGGGAUGGGCCCGCGCCCGAUUAGCCAGUUGGCGGGGUAAGGGCCCACCAAAGCGACGAUCGGUAGCCGGCCUGAGAGGGCGGACGGCCACAUUGGGACUGAGACACGGCCCAAACUCCUACGGGAGGCAGCAGUGGGGAAUAUUGCACAAUGGGGGAAACCCUGAUGCAGCAACGCCGCGUGGGUGAAGGAGCGUUUCGGCGCGUAAAGCCCUGUCAGCGGGGAAGAAGAAAGACGGUACCCGACCAAGAAGCCCCGGCUAACUACGUGCCAGCAGCCGCGGUAAUACGUAGGGGGCGAGCGUUAUCCGGAAUUACUGGGUGUAAAGGGAGCGUAGACGGCGGGGUAAGCCUGAAGUGGAAGCCCGCGGCCCAACCGCGGAACUGCUUUGGGAACUGUUUUGCUGGAGUAUGGGAGGGGUAAGCGGAAUUCCUGGUGUAGCGGUGAAAUGCGUAGAUAUCAGGAGGAACACCGGUGGCGAAGGCGGCUUACUGGACCAUAACUGACGUUGAGGCUCGAAAGCGUGGGGAGCGAACAGGAUUAGAUACCCUGGUAGUCCACGCCGUAAACGAUGAUUACCAGGUGUCGGGUGUCGA
rnacentral:rRNA from 1 species